GACGAACGCUGGCGGAGUGCUUAACACAUGCAAGUCGAACGGUAAGGCCCUUCGGGGUAAACGAGUGGCGAACGGGUGAGUAACACGUGGGUGAUCUGCCCUGCACCUCGGGAUAAGCCUGGGAAACUGGGUCUCAUACCGGAUAGGACCACUGCCUGCAUGGGUGGUGGUGGAAAGCUUUUGCGGUGUGGGAUGGGCCCGCGGCCUAUCAGCUUGUCGGUGGGGUGAUGGCCUACCAAGGCGACGACGGGUAGCCGGCCUGAGAGGGUGAUCGGCGACACUGGGACUGAGAUACGGGCCAGACUCCUACGGGAGGCGGCAGUGGGGAAGAUUUCACAAUGGGCGCAAGCCGGAUGCAGCGACGCCGCGUCGGGGAUGACGGCCUUCGGGUUGUAAACCUCUUUCAGCGCCGACGAAGCGGAAGUGACGGUAGGUGCAGAAGAAGGACCGGCCAACUACGUGCCAGCCGCCGCCGUAA
rnacentral:rRNA from 1 species